CGGGGGGGGGGGGGGGGGGGGGCAGAAGGCCUUCUUCGGCUGCUCACGCAGCUUCAGGCGAAGUGGCUGUCAGACCUGUUGCCAGGGCGCGGCUGAGGAAGGAAUGAGUGGAGAACAGGCGAGCACGUGAGGAAAACCGUCAAUACUGGGCAAGAGGCAGGCUUGCGCCAGCAAAGGACGCGCGCGUGCAAAUUCCAGUUGACAGCCUGAUAGGCAGACUGCAGAUGUUUCUGCACCUCUGUUCCCCUAGUCAUGUAUCAAACCAAGCUGGACAGGCUUUGUCCCAGCGGGGGUGGAGGGUGGCAUUUUGGAGGGCAAGUAAAAGAAAGAAAGUAUUCCCAAGCCCACUUGACUUCACAACCAUCCCACAUCCUCCAGUUUGGCUUUGUGACACAACCAACAUUUUAUCUUCAAAAACGUAAAGAACAAGAAAAUAAAAUAUUCUAAACAGAAUCCUAAUGCCUAAAUGGGGGGAAGAGAUGCAUUUUUAUGGGUUGCCCCCCCCCCCCGCAUCUGGAGUGAUUUUCAGUUCUGUGGACUGGAUUUCAGGAGUGCACAGCCAGGGGCUCAGAGUUGGGCUGCAUUCCCUUGAGCAUUCCUGCUCAGUCUUGACCACAGCGCCAGGACUCCCCAGGAGUGUGUGCACAGGCUGGGGCGGGGUCCACCACUUCUCCACCUUGAGGAUGAGCCCCCUCCGUGCCUCCCAGAACAGUAAGCAUAUACAUUCCUGACAGCAACUGAACCAGAGUUUCUGUGUCAGGUAUCAAGGAUACUGUAGUUUCAAAAAGAACGAAAACCCAUGGCUUCUCUGGAUGAUCUCACAAACAAGUCAUGUAGAUGACUGCUACACUGCAUGUUAAAUUCUAGAAUAGAAGUACAGAUGAUGGAUUAUGGGCUCAUAGAGGAGGGGUUUUUAACUAUCUAGGGAGGGAAAGGCCUCAAAGAGCUUUGGCUGCAAGAAAUAGGACACCCAAGUUCAGAUGCUUAAUUAGUAAUGAUAUUUAUUAUCUCAUAUAUAAGAAGCAUGAAGGCAAGAAGUUGGAUAACAGUAAGAACCAUGCUUCCUAGUUGGGCACAGUGCACAUGCCUGUGAUCCCAGCUACUAGGGAGGCCAAAGCAGGAAGAUUGUAAGUUCAAGAUCAGCUGGGGCAAUUUAGCAAGACUCUGUCUCAAAAGAAAAAACAAAAAGGGCUGGGGAAUAACUCAGUGAUAAAGCACCCCUGGGUUCAAUCCCCAGUGCAUUCCCCAUCACACACAUAAACAACAAACAAACAAAAAACAGCCAGAAAAAAGAACCAGGAUCAUUUGUCCUGGGCAUAGAACAAGAAGCCAUUUUACUUUAAAAUCAUUUUACUCUAAAUCUUCUCCAUUGUGAAUUUAAUAUGAGCAUUUUAUUCUUAUAUCCAUCAUUUCUGAUCCAGCAGUUCUGGAAUUCUCCAUUAGAUAAAAUAUAUUUCAGGGUUUUUUAAAAAUUUAAUAAGUCAGGCCAAAUAUGCUUUCUUUACUUAUGCAACACAAAUUAAGUCAAUUCUUUUCAGUUGUACAGACAUGUCUGUACACCCCUGAUUGUCUAUACCUUAUAACAAUUGUUCUGGAGUACAGGGGUCAUUCCUUUCUUUCUUUUUCCUUUUUCUUUCUUUCUUUUUUUUAAUAUUUAUUUAUUUAUUUUAGUUUUAGGUGAACACAAUAUCUUUACUUUGUUUCUAUGUGUUGCUGAGAAUCGAACCCAGUGCCUCCAGCAUGCUAGGCCAGCGCUACCACUUGAACCACAUCCCCAGCCCCAGGGGUCAUUUCUUUCCUGCUCUGAUAAAAUAGACAAACUAGGUCAACUUCAUUUGUCUUUGAAAUGUUUUAGGAAGAUAAGUCAAGGCUACAGUUUUUUAAAAACUGUUUUUAUUUGUUUGCACAAAAGCAACACAUGUGUUUUAAAAAAUGUGGGCCAUGGAGGAAGUUGUACAAAUUUGGAGGUGUAAAGACAGAGAAAUGGGGCCUCCCGGGGUUGUGUAACACACAACCUGUGAGACAGUGUAUGGCAACGUGAUUCUGAACACAGAGCACAGGGAUAAACACAGGACAAUUCACAGUGAUGCUACCUCCCAGCAACAAUAUGAACAUUUUGCUUAACUUCCUUUCAGUUUUUCUUCUAGAUACAUUGUACUUUCUUUUUGGUGGUGGGGGAGUACCAGGGAUUGAACUCAGGGGCACUCAACCACUGAGCCACAUCCCUAGCCCUGUUUUGUAUUUUAUUUAGAGACAGGGCCUCACUGGGUUACUUAGAGCCUCGCUUUUGCUGAGGUUGGCUUUGGACUUACAAUCCUCCUGCCUCUGCCUCCCCCGCUGCUGGCUGCUGUGAGUACAGGAGUAAGCCACCACACUCAGCUACAUUGUAUUUUUAAAUGGUAAUUGAUAAUGUAUACCUAUAUACCUGCUUUGUAA
rnacentral:lncRNA from 1 species